rnacentral:rRNA from 1 species
GACGAACGCUGGCGGCGUGCCUAAUACAUGCAAGUCGAGCGCAGGAAACUGACGGAACUCUUCGGAGGGAAGGCAGUGGAAUGAGCGGCGGACGGGUGAGUAACACGUAAGGAACCUGCCUCAAGGAUUGGGAUAACUCCGAGAAAUCGGAGCUAAUACCGGAUAGUCCAACGGACCGCAUGGUCCGCUGAUGAAAGGCGCUCCGGCGUCACCUUGAGAUGGCCUUGCGGUGCAUUAGCUAGUUGGUGGGGUAACGGCUCACCAAGGCGACGAUGCAUAGCCGACCUGAGAGGGUGAUCGGCCACACUGGGACUGAGAAACGGCCCAGACUCCUACGGGAGGCAGCAGUAGGGAAUCUUCCACAAUGGACGAAAGUCUGAUGGAGCAACGCCGCGUGAGUGAUGAAGGUUUUCGGAUCGUAAAACUCUGUUGUAAGGGAAGAACACGUACGAGAGGAAAUGCUCGUACCUUGACGGUACCUUACGAGAAAGCCACGGCUAACUACGUGCCAGCCGCCGCCGUAAUAC